CCUGCCUUCGCCCUAAGUCAGCUGGGAUAGGCUCCAGCCCCCGCGACCCUGCAGAGGAUUAAGCGGCGUACAUAUAAUGUACAGAUAAUGGAUGGAUGGAUGUUGAUAAUUUCCCUGGUAAGCUAUUAAGGAUCAGUACAAGAGGAGUUAGCCUAUGGUUGUCACACUUAACUGUUUCCAGAUAAAUUGAUAAAUUUCUUGUUCAGACGUGGUCUAAAACAAAAAGAGAUCAGAAGUGCGCUUUUGUCUUGUGGACACCAAAUCAGAUUUUCUAGAAAACUUCUUUGGCUGAAGGUGGGCACGUCAAACCGGAAGCAGCGAGUUGUGGCGAGAUAUUUUUAUGAUGCAGUACAGGACCAGCGUGGAUGUCCUUCCUUGAUUCGGAGUGACAGAGGGAAGGAAAACCAUCUUGUAGGUCAAAUGCAGAUUGCAUUUCAUAUGCGCAAGCUGGGAAACCAGGCACGGCUGCGCUUUAGAAUGGGGACAUCUGUCCAUAAUCAG